rnacentral:SRP_RNA from 1 species
GCCUGAAAUUGUAAGUGCGAGAGCCUGUAAUGAGCCCGGCACCCAGGCAGGCUGCAGCCGGCGGAUCGCUUGAGCUCAGGAGCUCUGGGCUGCAGUGGGCUGUGCCGGUCAAGUAUCAGUACUAAGUUUGGCAUCAAUAUGGUGAUCCCUGGGGAGCUUGGGGUCCCCAGGCUGCCUAAGGAGGGGUGAACCGGCCCAGGUUGGGAACGGAGCAGGUCAAAACUCCCGUGCCGAUCAGUAGUGGGAUCGUGCCUGUGAAUAGCCCCUGCAGCGUAGCCUGGGCAGACAGCGAGACACGGUCUCUU